AGUGGGGAAUAUUGGACAAUGGGCGCAAGCCUGAUCCAGCCAUGCCGCGUGAGUGAUGAAGGUCUUAGGAUUGUAAAGCUCUUUCACCGGUGAAGAUAAUGACGGUAACCGGAGAAGAAGCCCCGGCUAACUUCGUGCCAGCAGCCGCGGUAAUACGAAGGGGGCUAGCGUUGUUCGGAAUUACUGGGCGUAAAGCGCACGUAGGCGGAUAUUUAAGUCAGGGGUGAAAUCCCAGAGCUCAACUCUGGAACUGCCUUUGAUACUGGGUAUCUUGAGUAUGGAAGAGGUGAGUGGAAUUCCGAGUGUAGAGGUGAAAUUCGUAGAUAUUCGGAGGAACACCAGUGGCGAAGGCGGCUCACUGGUCCAUUACUGACGCUGAGGUGCGAAAGCGUGGGGAGCAAA
rnacentral:rRNA from 1 species